rnacentral:rRNA from 1 species
GGCCUAACACAUGCAAGUCGAGCGGGAAAGUUCCCUUCGGGGAGCGAGUACAGCGGCGAACGGGUGAGUAACACGUAGGCAACCUACCCCGGAGACCGGGAUAACCUGUCGAAAGACGGGCUAAUACCGGAUAUGACUCCUCAUCGCAUGGUGGGGGGUGGAAAGCUUUUGUGGUUUUGGAUGGACUCGCGGCCUAUCAGCUUGUUGGUGGGGUAAUGGCCUACCAAGGCGACGACGGGUAGCCGGCCUGAGAGGGUGACCGGCCACACUGGGACUGAGACACGGCCCAGGCUCCUACGGGAGGCAGCAGUGGGGAAUAUUGCACAAUGGGCGAAAGCCUGAUGCAGCGACGCCGCGUGAGGGAUGACGGCCUUCGGGUUGUAAACCUCUUUCAGUAGGGAAGAAGCGAAAGUGACGGUACCUGCAGAAGAAGCGCCGGCUAACUACGUG